UACGGGGGGGGCAAGCGUUGUUCGGAAUUACUGGGCGUAAAGGGCUCGUAGGCGGCCAACUAAGUCAGACGUGAAAUCCCUCAGCUUAACUGGGGAACUGCGUCUGAUACUGGAUGGCUUGAGUUUGGGAGAGGGAUGCGGAAUUCCAGGUGUAGCGGUGAAAUGCGUAGAUAUCAGGAGGAACACCGGUGGUGUAGACGGCUUACUGGACCACGACUGACACUGAGGCACGAAAGCGUGGGUAGCAAACAGG
rnacentral:rRNA from 1 species